AUUAUUAAGUGGUUUUUCCCAUUCAAACCACUAUCUUAUCCAUUUGAGGUUCCAUAUUCAUUGGUUUUUAUACCAAUACCCAAAUUCCCCUAGUGUAGCAUGUUUUAGGUUUGAAUGAGAAAAGAGUUUAGGGUAUAUAUAUCCCUCUAAGCAAAUUUUCCUAACCAAGCGUUUUCCCAAAAUCAUAUUUUAUUUCCUGAUCCUAUUUUCCAGCAAAUUCUACUGCUAAACCAAUUAUCACUUUGUCCAUGCCCACACGUUAUCAUAAUAUCUGACAUCAUCCUAAGCCUCUAAUUUGAUUAUUACUCUCGUUUAAUACUCUUCGAUGACCUAUAUCUUGACAUAAGGAUGUCUUUCUGUAGUCUAGGUUCUUCCUUUCCUAAUCUCCAUUUCCACUUUCCUAGUAGGGUUA
rnacentral:lncRNA from 1 species